AGUGAACGCUGGCGGUAGGCCUAACACAUGCAAGUCGAACGGCAGCACAGUAAGAGCUUGCUCUUACGGGUGGCGAGUGGCGGACGGGUGAGGAAUACAUCGGAAUCUACUUUUUCGUGGGGGAUAACGUAGGGAAACUUACGCUAAUACCGCAUACGACCUACGGGUGAAAGCAGGGGAUCUUCGGACCUUGCGCGAUUGAAUGAGCCGAUGUCGGAUUAGCUAGUUGGCGGGGUAAAGGCCCACCAAGGCGACGAUCCGUAGCUGGUCUGAGAGGAUGAUCAGCCACACUGGAACUGAGACACGGUCCAGACUCCUACGGGAGGCAGCAGUGGGGAAUAUUGGACAAUGGGCGCAAGCCUGAUCCAGCCAUACCGCGUGGGUGAAGAAGGCCUUCGGGUUGUAAAGCCCUUUUGUUGGGAAAGAAAAGCAGCAGGUUAAUACCCCGCUGUUCUGGCGGUACCCAAAGAAUAAGCACCGGCGAACUUCGU
rnacentral:rRNA from 1 species